rnacentral:piRNA from 1 species
UCAAACACUUGUUUCCGUCUAUCCAUGGAG